AACCACAGCCAAGGAAAUGGGCUUGGCGGAAUCAGCAGGGAAAGAAGACCCUGUUGAGCUUGACUCUAGUCUGG
rnacentral:miRNA from 10 species